UACGAGGGGGGGCGAGCGUUGUUCGGAAUUAUUGGGCGUAAAGGGUGCGUAGGCGGUUUGGUAAGUCUUAUGUGAAAUCUAUGGGCUCAACUCAUAGACUGCAUGAGAAACUGCCGGGCUUGAGUAUGGGAGAGGUGAGUGGAAUUCCUGGUGUAGCGGUGAAAUGCGCAGAUAUCAGGAGGAACACCAGCAGCGAAGGCGGCGCUCUGGGCUGGAACUGACGCUGAGGAGCGAAAGCGUGGGUAGCAAACAGG
rnacentral:rRNA from 1 species